rnacentral:rRNA from 1 species
UACGAAGGGGGCUAGCGUUGCUCGGAUUGACUGGGCGUAAAGGGCGCGUAGGCGGUUUGCACAGUCAGACGUGAAAUUCCUGGGCUCAACCUGGGGGCUGCGUUUGAUACGUGCAGGCUUGAGUUCGGAAGAGGGUCGUGGAAUUCCCAGUGUAGAGGUGAAAUUCGUAGAUAUUGGGAAGAACACCGGUGGCGAAGGCGGCCUUCUGGACAGUGACUGACGCUGAGACGCGAAAGCGUGGGGAGCAAACAGG